rnacentral:rRNA from 1 species
AGGAAAAGAAACUAACAAGGAUUCCCCUAGUAACUGCGAGUGAAGCGGGAAAAGCUCAAAUUUAAAAUCUGGCGGUCUUUGGCCGUCCGAGUUGUAAUCUAGAGAAGUAAUGCCCGUGCUGGACCGUGUAUAAGUCUCCUGGGAUGGGGCGUCAUAGAGGGUGAGAAUCCCGUCUUUGACACGGACUACCAGUGCAUUGUGGUAUGCUCUCAAAGAGUCGAGUUGUUUGGGAAUGCAGCUCAAAAUGGGUGGUAAAUUCCAUCUAAAGCUAAAUAUUGGCGAGAGACCGAUAGCGAACAAGUACCGUGAGGGAAAGAUGAAAAGAACUUUGGAAAGAGAGUUAAACAGUACGUGAAAUUGCUGAAAGGGAAACGCUUGAAGUCAGUCGCGUUGGCCGGGGAUCAGCCUUGCUUUUGCAUGGUGUACUUUCUGGUUGACGGGUCAGCAUCAAUUUUGACCGCUGGAAAAAGACCUGGGGAAUGUGGCAGCUUCGGCUGUGUUAUAGCCCCUAGUCGCAUACAGUGGUUGGGAUUGAGGAACUCAGCACGCCGCAAGGCCGGGUUUCGACCACGUUCGUGCUUAGGAUGCUGGCAUAAUGGCUUUAAGCGACCCGUCUUGAAACACGGACCAAGGAGUCUAACAUGCCUGCGAGUAUUUGGGUGGAAAACCCAAGUGCGUAAUGAAAGUGAAAGUUGAGAUCCCUGUCGUGGGGAGCAUCGACGCCCGGACCAGAACUUUUGGGACGGAUCCGCGGUGGAGCAUGUAUGUUGGGACCCGAAAGAUGGUGAACUAUGCCUGAAUAGGGUGAAGCCAGAGGAAACUCUGGUGGAGGCUCGUAGCGAUUCUGACGUGCAAAUCGAUCGUCAAAUUUGGGUAUAGGGGCGAAAGACU